GGUUUUUCUUUGUAAUCUUAGCCCGUUUAAAGGCUUAUUUUCAAUGAGAAAUCAAGCUUGAAUUUUAUACAGAAAAUUAUUUGUGAGAUUGAAUUCUUUUUGUUCUUUUGAACACCUAAAACACCAUUAGUGAAUGAAUGUUUUGGUUUUGACUUAUCAAUAGGAUUUUCAUCACCUAUUGUGGCAUCUUCAUUAUAUACGAAGGUUUCUAAUCACAGGUUGGUUAGGGGUCAAGGUGACCAUUAGAACUUGAACAUAAUUAGAUCCGGGCUAAUAUAAUAUGGGUUUAGGAGCAGGUCAUUCUAGGUUCGUAUCACUCCCCAUUCGGCCUGUCUUGAAACACGGACCAAGGAGUCUGACGUGUGUGAGUCAACGGGCCAGUAAACUCGUAAGGCGUAAGGAAGCUGAAUGGUACGAUCCCCAUGCGGGUUGCAACGUCGACCGACCCUGAUCAUCUGAGAAGGGCUCAAGUGAGAGCAUGCCUGAUGGGACCCGAAAGAUGGCGAACUAUACCUGAGCAAGGCGAAGCCAGACGAAACUCUAGUGGAGGCCCGCAACGAUACUGAUAUUCAAAUCAUUCGUCUAACUUGGGUAUAGGGGCGAAAGACUAAUCGAGCCAUCUAGUAGCUGGUUCCUUUCAAAGUUUCCCUCAGGAUAGCUGGAGCCCAUAGACAAGUUAUCUCAGUUAAAGCCAAUGACUAGAGGCAUCGGGGGCACAACGCCCUCGACCUAUUUUCAAACUUUAAACAGGUAGGACGGCGCGACUGCUCCAUUGAGCCGCACUAUGGAAUCAAGAACUCCAAGUGGGCCAUUUUCAAUAAGCAGAACUGGCGAUGCAGGAUGAACUAGAAGCUGGAUUAUGGUGCCCAACUGUGCACUAACCUAGAACCCACAAAGGGUGUUGGUCGAUUAAGAUAGUAAGAUGGUGGUCAUGGAAGUUGAAAUCUACUCAGGAGUGUGUAACAACUCACCUACCGAAUCAACUAGCCCAAAAAAUGGAUGGUACUAAAGAGUGCGACCUAUACUCGGCUGUCGGGACAAGUGCUAGGCCCCGAUGAGUAGGAGGGCACGGCGGUCGCUGUAAAACCUGGGGCGCAAGCCCGGGCGGAGUGGCCAUCAGUGCAGAUCUUAGUGGUAGUAGCAAAUAUUCAAAUGAGAACUUUGAAGGCCGAAUAGGGGAAAGGUUCCAUGUGAACAGCACUUGCACAUGGGUUAGUCGAUCCUAAGAAAUGGGGGAAGCCUAUCUGACAGCGUAACCAGUGCAAAUUUCGAAAGGGAAUCGACUAAAAUUCUUGAACCGGGACAUGGCAGAUGACGACAAUGUUAGGGAGUCCGGAGACAUCGGCGGGAACCUUCAGAAGAGUUAUCUUUUCUAUUAAAUAGCCUACCCACCCUAGAAACGGCUCAGCCAUAGGCAGGGUCUAGUGGCUAGAAGAGCACCACACGUCGCGUGGUGUCCGGUGUGCCCCCGAUGGCCCUUGAAAAUCCAGAUGACCGAUUGCCUCCCACGUCGGUCAUCGAUGGACUGGGAAAAGGUCCCUUUGGGGGCCCUUCCCCAGGCUUCGAACAGUCGACUCAAAACUAGUACGGGCAAGACGAAUCCGACUAUUUAAUUAAAACAAAGCAUUGCGAUGGUCCCUGUAGAUGCUCACGCAAUGUGAUUUCUAUCCAAUGCUCUGAAUGUCAAAGUGAAGAAAUUCAACCAAGUGCGGGUAAAUGGCGGGAGUAACUAUGACUUUUUUAAGGUAGCCAAAUGCCUCGUCAUCUAAUUAGUGAUGCACAUGAAUGGAUUAACAAGAUUCCCACUGUCCAUUGAAUCGGAAGAGGGGCACUGCCCAUUUUUUUAGACCCAAGGCCUGCCUCGACUGGCUGAUCUAGGUGGAAGACAUUGUUAGGUGGGGAGUUUGGCUGGGGCGACACAUCUGUUAGAAGAUAACGUAGGUGUCCUAAGAUGAGCUCAACGAGAAUAGAAAUCUUGUGUGGAACAAAAGGGUGAAAGCUGAUUUGAUUCUGAUUUCUAGUAUGAAUAUAAAUCAUGAAAGCGUGGCCUAUCGAUCCUUUAAACCUUCAAAUUUUGAAGCUAGAGGUGUCAGAAAAGUUACAAUAGGGAUAACUGACUUGUGGCAGCCAAGCGUUCAUAGUGAUGUUGCUUUUUGAUCCUUCGAUGUUGGCUCUUCCUAUCAUUGUGAAGCAGAAUUCACCAUGUGUUGGAUUGUUCACUCACCAAUAGGGAACAUGAAGUGGGUUUAGACCGUCGUGAGAUAGGUUAGUUUUACCCUACUGAUGAUAGUGCCACAAUAGUAAUUCAACCAAGUAUGAGAAGAAUUGUUGAUUCGCACAAUUAGCCAUCGUGCUUGGUUGAAAAGCCAGUGGCACAAAACCACCAUGUGGUGGAUUAUGCCUGAACGCUCUAAGUCAGAAUCUGGGCUAGAAGUGAUGCAUGCACUCGCCGCCCGUUUGCUGACCCACAGUAAGGGCCUUCAUCCCACAAAAGCAUGUGUCGUUGGCCAAGCCCCUGCGCUGGACGUACUAUGCGGGCAGCCUUGAAGUUCAAUUCUUAUCGAGCGGCGGGUAGAAUCCUCUGCAGAGACUUAAAUAUGUGAUGGGGCAUUGUAAGUGGCAGAGUGGCCUUGCUACCAUGAUCUAUUGAGAUUUAGCCCUGCGUCGCUUUGAUUUGU
rnacentral:rRNA from 1 species